UCGAGCUCGCGCGCUCAGAUUUAAACUCCCGACCGUUAAGCGCCAACUGCCGCUGCGCGCGUGAGAACGGGAACGUUCGGCAGUUACCGGCGUCCUGCAACUUUCAGCAGCAAGGUGAGGGCUGUGGGCUUGGAGCUGAAUCCCGGGUUGGUUUGGUCUCCAGGUACAGAGCAUGGCAGGAAGGAGUGCAACAUAAUCCUGGAGUUUACAUCUCAGACUUGUGGAGGUCAGAUUCGAAAAAAAAUAUUGUCACAUUAGGAGUUCCUGAAGUGAUUUUGCCAGACCUGCUGAGUUCAUGGAAUUCCUACAAUGAGUAAAGAGGCCAUUUGGCUUAUUGAGACUGCACUCAUCUUCCAAAGAGCAUCCCAUCCAGACCUAACUGCUUGCUUCCCUCAUCGUGAUCCAGUCUUCAUCAAUGAAAUAAAGGGAAGAAUUGAGUAUGAUUGAAAUCGAUGAACAAUUGCACAGUACUUCAACGGAGAAUACAGGGAGGAUAGACAUUGCAGAUAGAUCCUGACUAUUCCCCAAAUAACAACUGCACAAGUAUUGGAAGACAUCCAGUCUCUUCACAGCAUUGCUCAACACUGAAGGUUGGGCACUGUGAUCAUCAUUUGGAAGUUGAGCAGGUCAGGAGAAUGUUGGCAUAUCAUGAAAUCUGAAACUGGUCAGUGAUGUGGAGCUUCCAUCAGAACCAAUUUUUCCAAUGGUUCAGCUUGAUGAUGGUGAGGCUGGGAAGAAGUGAGUGGCUCCAAGUGUGUUGACAGCUUCAAUGAUUCCUGGAGCCUUAUGAACCACUGACUCAUUUCCACAGGUCAGAGGCUUUUUAAGGGUAAGGAAUGUGAGGUGGCCUCCAAGACUGUCAAGAUCUCCAAAACAUGUGCAUUUGUUGAACACUCAUAUGGAAGAGAAACAAUUUAAGUGUGAGGUCUGUGACCAAGACUUCAGACAAUCAUCGAUGCUUAUGAAACACCAAAGUAUCCAACACAGGAAGAAACCUUUCAUGUGUGAGGUGUGUAUCAAAUCAUAUUCCAAGCCAUCGCACCUCUACAUACACCAAUACAUUCACACAGGGGAGAACCCGUUCAAAUGUGAAGUUUGUGGUAAAGCUUUUGCAACAUUCACAACCUUUCUAUCCCACCAACAUAUUCACACAGGAGAAAAGCUGUUCACUUGUGGCGUGUGUGAAAAAUGCAGAGCUGGGCUGAGGAGUGGCAGAUGGAAUUCAACCCUGCCAAGUGUGAGGUUGUCCAUUUUGGAAGAACAAAUAAGAAUGCGGAAUACAGGGUUAACGGUAGAGUUCUUAGUCAGGUGGAGGAACAGAGGGAUCUUGGGGUCUAUGUACAUAGAUCUUUGAAAGGUGGAUAGAUCUUGUAAGAAGGCCUAUGGUGUAUUAGCGUUCAUUAGCAGAGGGAUUGAAUUCAAGAGUCGUGAAGUGAUGUUGCAGCUGUACAGGACUUUGGUUAGGCCACAUUUGGAGUACUGUGUGCAGUUCUGGUCACCUCACUUUAGGAAAGAUGUGGAAGCUUUGGAGAGGGUGCAGAGAAGAUUUACCAGGAUGUUGCCUGGAAUGGAGAAUAGGUCGUACGAGGACAGGUUGAGAGUUCUCGGCCUUUUCUCGUUGGA